rnacentral:rRNA from 1 species
UACGGGGGGGGGCAAGCGUUGUUCGGAAUUACUGGGCGUAAAGGGCUCGUAGGCGGCCAACUAAGUCAGACGUGAAAUCCCUCGGCUUAACCGGGGAACUGCGUCUGAUACUGGAUGGCUUGAGUUUGGGAGAGGGAUGCGGAAUUCCAGGUGUAGCGGUGAAAUGCGUAGAUAUCUGGAGGAACACCGGUGGCGAAGGCGGCUUUUUGGUCUGUAACUGACGCUGAGGCGCGAAAGCGUGGGGAGCAAACAGGG